AUUGAACGCUGGCGGCAGGCUUAACACAUGCAAGUCGAACGAGUGGCGGACGGGAGAGUCAUGCUUGGGAAUCUGGCCUAUGGAGGGGGAUAACGACUGGAAACUGUCGCUAAUACCGCGUACUAUAGGAUGCGCCCAAGUGGGAUUAGGUAGUUGGUGGGGUAAUGGCUUACCAAGCCGACGAUCUCUAGCUGGUCUGAGAGGAUGACCAGCCACACCGUGACUGAGACACGGCCCGGACUCAUACGGGAGGCAGAAGUGGGAAAUAUUGCGCAAUGGGGGCAACCUGACGAAGCAAUGCUGCGUGAAUGAAGAAGGCCUGCGGGUUGUAAAGUUCUUUCAGUGACGAGGCGUUAAUCACAGAAGAAGCACCGGCUAACGCCGUACCAGCAGCCGCGGUAAUUC
rnacentral:rRNA from 1 species